GGAGGCGUGGCAGAGUGGUCGAUUGCACCUGACUUGAAAUCAGGCAUGCCCGCAAGGGCAUCGUGGGUUCGAAUCCUACCGCCUCCGCCA
rnacentral:tRNA from 1 species